AUUGAACGCUGGCGGCAGGCCUAACACAUGCAAGUCGAGCGAGCGGCGGACGGGUGAGUAAUGUAUGGGAACUGCCCGAUGGAGGGGGAUAACUACUGGAAACGGUAGCUAAUACCGCAUACUAUCGGAUAAAACAUAUGUGAUUAGCUAGUAGGUGAGGUAAUGGCUCACCUAGGCGACGAUCCCUAGCUGGUCUGAGAGGAUGAUCAGCCACACUGGGACUGAGACACGGCCCAGACUCCUACGGAGGCAGCAGUGGGGAAUAUUGCACAAUGUGCGCAAGCCUGAUGCAGCCAGGCCGCGUGUAUGAAGAAGGCCCUAGGGUUGUAAAGCACUUUCAGUCGGGAGGCGUUACCGACAGAAGAAGCACCGGCUAACUCCGUGCCAGCAGCCGCGGUAAUUC
rnacentral:rRNA from 1 species